AACGAACGCUGGCGGCAUGCCUAACACAUGCAAGUCGAACGAGACCUUCGGGUCUAGUGGCGCACGGGUGCGUAACGCGUGGGAACCUGCCCUUAGGUUCGGAAUAACUCCCCGAAAGGGGUGCUAAUACCGGAUAAUGUCUUCGGACCAAAGAUUUAUCGCCUUUGGAUGGGCCCGCGUUGGAUUAGCUAGUUGGUAGGGUAAAAGCCUACCAAGGCGACGAUGCAUAGCUGGUCUGAGAGGAUGAUCAGCCACACUGGGACUGAGACACGGCCCAGACUCCUACGGGAGGCAGCAGUGGGGAAUAUUGGACAAUGGGCGAAAGCCUGAUCCAGCAAUGCCGCGUGAGUGAUGAAGGCCUUAGGGUUGUAAAGCUCUUUUACCCGGGAUGAUAAUGACAGUACCGGGAGAAUAAGCUCCGGCUAACUCCGUG
rnacentral:rRNA from 1 species